UUAUUUUCCGAAUACGUCCUACCCCCUAAGUCAUCCUCAUCGUUACAUCUUCAUAUAACCAAUCCCCAAACCCUAACCCGCCGUCUCCUUUCUUGCACCACCUUGGGGUGGCGGCGCCUGUCCCAUUCAGCCCCAAAAUAACAUCCCGAAUUCUUCUCAACCCUCUCAUUCCAAAUACCUGAACUAUUUUCCUCGAAUAUAAUCCAGUCAUCUCGAAUCUUCAAUCAAACGUUUGACCAAAAACCCCAAUCCUCCCAAUCCGGUCAAAAUCGUACCCUACAGUCUUCUAGGUCUCCUCAAUCUGAAUUCCAAGUCAAGAAUCUUCAAAUUCAAGUGAAGUUCUGCCAAUUGCAAAUCUAGGGUUUGGCCCUUUUGACGUUAAGAGCUGAAUUGACCCCUGCAAUGGUUUCCUAGUUUCAAGCGUGUAGUGAGUUCUCCUCUUUUACUUUGUUUACGGUUCUUUCUCUUUGGCCCUUCUGGGUUUCUCUUUUGUUUUUUCUAUUUUCAGUGUGGUUAAUCUAUGUUCUUUUCCUUGGUAUUUUAAUAUGAAUUAACAAAUAUAGUUUGUUCGUUUUAAGUGUGUUGCUUAGGCAUGAGUAUUAAAGUCAAGCAUGUUGAUUUUUUCGAUCAGUUUAGGUGUCGUCUGAUCACUGUUUCAUCAUUGUUCGCCGGUUUUAAUUUUUUGCUUUACGAUUCAAUUGGUUCUCAUUUGGUUUAAUUUUUCUUUUGAUCAUGUGUUGUGAUAUUUGAAGUGUGUUUUGACAAGUUUUAGUUUUAUUAGUUAGUUAGAUUAGAUCGCUCUUUGAAUCAUUUUUUCAUUAGUAAAAUUGGAUUGGUUUUUUAGCUUUGUUAAUUCACUAGUUAUGGCUUUAUUAAGCUCUUAGAAUAAUUGUAGUUAAACUUCAACUAGGGUUAUUUCAGUCUAGUAAAAUUCAGGGUAAAGGCAGGGGUAGUUUGGGCAUUUAACCAUAUGAUAGAAUAGAAUCCCCAGAAUCUUUUAGAAUGGGGCUCAAGUUUAUAUUUCAGUAAGUUUAGGGUUCAGUCUAGUAAAAUUCAGGGUAAAGACAGGGGUAUUUUGGGCAUUUAACCAUAGGAUAGAAUUUUGUAGAUUAGAAUAGAAUUCCCUAGAAUCUUCUAGAAUGGGGCUCACAUUUAGAUUUUAGUAAGUUUAGGAUAUUAACUUGAGUGACAAGUCAGAACUUCAGGACUAUCUGAAUAAAAUCUUAAAACAAAGAGGGGGAAAAUGAAUGAGGGAAUUCUAGAAUCUUCCUACCCCCUUCUUGCAUAUAAAAGGCAGCCCCAAUGCAUUAAGAAACAAUUUUGGAAGCCCAAAAAUUCCCCUAAAAACCUUUCCUGCAUAUCUGAAUCCCUAGUUUGAAUUUCAAAUUUAGAAUUUUAAAAAUAUGAACUCUUAUAGUUUCCACCUUCUUUUAGAUCUGAAUUCCUAUUCAAAAAUCCAAAAACAAACAGAAAUAUAGUAAAAAAAAGGUAUUGUUUCAUUGAAAUUUUAGUAUGAUUUUGAUUUCUAGUUGUUAAUUCACAUCUUCUCGUCCAAUAUCUAUUGGCUGGGAGCUUUAGAGGUGUCCUGGUUCAAAUUCGAGCUAGUUUUGGUUUACAUGAGUUGUGUUGGUCGUUCAAACUGCAUUUGGUUAAUUCAGUCAGUUUUUGGGUCUAGUUGCUGUUGUUUCUCGCUACUAGUUUUACAAAAUUCAAGCUGAAAUAGCUGUGAUAGUCCUUCACUGCUUGAAUCUGUGCCUCUCACAUUGCUGCUGAUCUCUCCUUUCCUCAUUUCUCUUAUCAAAUUCCAGGUACACACUCUGGACUAACUCAAUGUAGCUUCUCCUGUCAAACAAUGAAAUGAAACGGAGGCGAUUCUCUACUGUAGAUCUACUGUUUGAUAAUUCUAUCAUGUUUAAGUAGAUUUUCUGUGAUUUGGUUGGUCGUUCAAUGUAAUUAACUUUGGAUUGUAAUUAGGACUGCUUUAAAGUGAUUUGGACUGUCUUUUCUGGACUUUCAAUUUGUAGUAAUUGAUCAAACUCUAUAAUUGUAUAAUUGUUCUAAUGGUGGCAUUAUUUGUGAACACUAGAAUUAGCAGGCUAUUAACACUAGAAAAAUAGGGGGCAAUCAUUGAGAUUUGAAUAGAGUAUUUUAAAAAUUGUGUUAAAUGGACUGUGAGCUAUAUUUGUAUAAUCCAUGUCGGUGUGGUUGUGUUAAUUUAAGCAUUGUUUGAGGACCGACUGAAAAUGAGUAUUAACUUAGGAUUUAACCAAAUAUGAGCAUAAUUCUCUAGGUUCUUCGGAGUUUAGUUUACUUUUGGAAAUCAUAAACAUCAUAUCAAUACGAUAGGUGUUGCGUCUCCUGUUUAACAGACGUUGGCUACGCUAAUUCAUUCAUUGAGUUCAAUAAUUAAUUAUAGUACUUCCUUGGAUUAUAUCUAAUCAGAAUACAAGUUAAAAUAAGAUUGAUGGUUGCUGAGUUGAUCGAAUUUGGAAUUACCUUCAGUUGUUACUCAAAAUUCUGAACCUAAUUGUGCAAACUCAACCGUGAGUACUUAGCUGAUCCUAAGCAUUCUGAGCUUAACAGCCCAUUCAGGUGUUUUGGUGUCACUGAUGCCUGAGCUACUUAUGUUUAUGAUGUAGCGUUCGAAAUGGGCCUGUAGUAAGGCCCAAGGAUGGUUGGCCGCUCCUGAAAUAAAAAAGCUGGUUAUUUAUAUUGGGCUGAACUUGAGAACAGAUACACUAACGACUCUCACUCCUUUAAUCAUGAUUUAGUUUAGGCUUUGGGCCUAUAAAUUAAAUUUCUUUUAGAGAUAAUCCCUUAAUAGAUAACCAUAGUCCAUUUCGAGGAUGCCUUUUAUAUAAAUGAGACGAGCCUCGCUGAACAAAACACAUAAAUUGCGGGACCCUCGAUAAAUACCUGUAUUAAAUACUUAGAAUUCAGGAUGGGCCGCCUAGCAAAUAUUGUUUUACCCAAAGAUAAUAACGUGUUAGUAUCUUUAGGCGCAUAUUAUAAUAACAUUACCUACUAAACUCGGGUGCACAAUUAUAUAACCCAAAUCCAAAUCUCAACGAAGUCGAAAUAUGUCAACAACCACGGGUGUAUUUAUGUGACGUGGUUCGAGAAACGUUUUUACGACAUUGCAAUUCUCGUUAAAAAUAAUAAUAAAAACGAUUAAGAUUAAAAGCACAUAAGAAAAAAUAUGUUUUGAAAUAAGAUAAUAUUCCAAAUAUAACAGUUGAGCAACCUUUCUAGAACCACGGAACCCGGGAAUGCCUAACUCCUUCUCCCGGGUUAACAUAAUUUCUUACUCGAAUUUUUGGUUCGCGGACUGUUAACAGAGUCAUAUUUUUCUCAGUUCGGGAUUCAAUCGGUGACUUGGGACACCAUUAAUCUCCUAAUUGGCGACUCUGAAUCCUAAUAAUAAAUCCCAUUCCCAUUGUCCUUUAACUAGAAAAACUCUUUUAUGCCCUUGCAGGUGUAGUGAAAAAGAAGGUGUGACAGCUAUGGCGACUCUGCUGGGGAGGCAAACCCAGAACUUCGGUUCAAGUUUAGGAGUUCGAUCUUAGAAUAAUUGUUAUGUUUGGCUUUAUCUGAUUUUCCUACAUGUUUCCUACUAAAUGUGCUUAAUGCUUUACCGCUUUGAUAUUAUCUGAACUGUAUAUAAAUUGUGCCGAAACCCUUCUCUUCUCACCUCCGGGGAUGUGCUUACUGGUUGAGACUCCCUAUUAUGUUAGUGUCAUACCCUGAAGUAAGAAAGAGGCUCGGAUAAGAUACAAAACCGAACAAUAUUGCG
rnacentral:lncRNA from 1 species